rnacentral:lncRNA from 1 species
CUUCUUCGCACUCCUUCAUCUUCUUCUGUGCUCCGUCAAAUUCAUAGUUGACAUAAACACAUGCCAAAAACUCCGUGAUGGGAUCUUUGUAAGAGCACUGAUCUUGCUGGAUAACCUUGAUAAAUUCUUUGAAUUGAGGUCUUCUCCUUUUGUUGACAAUAAAAGCAGUGGCUAAGUACCUUAGAAGAUGGGGAGCACUGGUUUGAAUGGCAUUUAGAUACCUGGAAAGAAGCGAAAUCACCUUGUAAGAUGAGACAACUACACAAAGUUGGAUAACAGAGAAAGGAAAUAUAUAAACCCAGAGAAAUAAUGCAUUAACCAAUGAAAGAAAGCAGUAAAAACAUCUAAAUUCAAACACAAUUUUAUGUUUAGUUCCAACAACAAUCUCCCUUAUGAAACAAAAUUCCAAACUAAGGAGUAUGGCGAACAUAUCACCUACUUUAGCCUCAAAUCUUUGAACAAACAUUUUGCAAAUUACAUGGCAGGCUGUGCGUUAACUUUUCAUAUUAGAAAAACCAUGCAAAUGACAGAAGAAAUCCACAAAGUUUCUAAACAUGUUCCAUUCCAACAAAAUCAAAACCGAAGCAUGUGAACACAGCAGGAUCAUGAAACAGAAGUAAGUCAUGGCAUAAAAAGACAGGAAAAUGCACAAAGAACAAACAAGCACAGAUGUGACUACCACACAAAUGAUGCAACUAACAACAUCAGGAACAAGACAUGGAAACCUUAAGUUUAGUUGUUAAAGUGACAUACUUGUCUUGAUUAAAUAGGUCGAUGAUCUGUGUUCUUCCAUUGUCAUGGUUGAAAAAGAUGAAGAGGCUCCAAUGCAUAAGCCAUAUUCUACUCUGAACUUGGUUCAAAGGUGAUGAGAAGCUCUGCAGCAAAAAGACCAAUAAAUGAGUCAACGAAUAAUCGGAAAGCAAAUUGUCAAAACAAAAACCGAAUAAUCAACAGGGAUAUAACCAAAACCUUGGAAUCGAUUAUUUCUUUCAAACGAUUAAGUUCUUCAAGAGCAAUAUCCCAGUUUUGCAUCAGUAUCUCGGCAGCAAGCUUCCCCCACAAUGCACUCAAACUCCUUUCGCUGUUAGUACACAAAGCUCGAUACUGAUACAAAUAGUCAGCAGCACCAGAGUAGUUGCCACACUCAAAUUGGAAUUUUGCAUACUGAUACAAUGCCUCUAUUUGAUCUGGACCAAUCUGUUAAAAAAAAUUAUCCACCAUUAAAUUAAAAAAAACUUUAAUUAAUUCAAACCCAGGCAAAAUAAAAACUUUAACAACAAAGAGCAUGCUAGAAUUUUAGCAUAAGAAAGCAUGUGCAUCUAUUUGGUUAUUCUUUAUAUUUUCCUUAAAAAUCACAUAAUAUUAUGACUAAUACAAAUUCACACUUGAAUGGGUUAUUCACUUAAAAUCAAGAAGGGGUUAAAAUAACAUAAAAAUAACCUUAAAUUCAUCAAAAAGGGGGGGGCAGACCUGGUAGCGGUCAUUGAGCAUCUGGAGAUUAUACUGUUUAUCAGAACGCAAUUCCUGAACAGCGUUAGGGUUUUGCAAGAAAGUGACGAGAGGAGCGGCGGCAUCUUCCAAAGCUUUGAGACGAGCGACAACCUCGACUCUCCUCUCGACCAUGUCCUGAGGGACAUCAUCGGUGCGGUAAAGGCUCUUAUGGAUAUCCAUAGCGUAAUCGACCAUGUUUGUCUUGUUCAAAAGCUCAAUCUUUGCUUUCAAGAUCUGUUCAUCUGGGUAUAGUUGUCGCUCUUGCAAGAACUCCAGCAAUGGAAACACUAAGUGCCUGUCUAGGUUCGGGCCGAUACGUGGGGUUAGAUCGUAAGUAGCCAUUGCCAGGGUUUACUCUGGUUUCUGGUUUCGUGCUUUUUGUUUGAUAUAAACAAAUUUAUACUAUAUAUAUUCCUUCUCCACUCCCUUAAUUCAACUGGAGUUAAGAGUUAAAAUAUAGUUUUAAAUUUAUUUUUUAUUUUCGAAUUAAAUAUAAUAAGUUGUUUUUACAAAAAGAAAAAUACAAACGAGUUUAAAAUAAUAUUUAUCAAUAUUAUUUAUAAUAAUUACUAGAUAAUUGUUGGUCAUGCUUAAGUAAUUAAGCAUGAUUCUAAUAUAUUUUAUACUUGUUUAAAUCUAUUUUGAUCUUAAAUAUAUGUUUAAAAUUUCGUUUAAGUCACAUAUUGUCUGUAUUCCUCCCCAUCCUUCUUUGGGUACAAACAAUAUUAUUUGGGCACGCACGAUUUUAGGUUUUUUUUUGUCCAUAAUGCCUUUUGGUUUUUUUAAAAAAAGUUUUUGGAACCCAUAGCUGAAAAUACCAGGGGCCACAAAGAGUUAAUUUUUUUCUUACUAGCCUUCAAGCAAAGACUUUGUCUAAUAUGGAGUGAACUAGGAGGAACUGAUCAUAAUAUCUCACGUCUUGUUUGUAGCCAUGAAACAGAAGACAUGCUCUAUGUGCUUUAAGAUUGUUCGACAACAAAGGAAGUUUGGUUACAGGUAAUAUCUUUUGAUAAAUAACAAUGUUUCUUCUCUAGGUCUCUUCCGGAAUGGUUGACUUCAAAUCUUGCCUAUCACGUCCUAUUACCUAGAAAGGGGUAAUUUGACCUUGUCUAUUCGGUUUGAUUGCAUGGCGCAUUUGGAAAAAUAGGGACCUAUUCAUCUUUCAAGACAUCACUUUGAUGACUUUUGAUACUAUCAAGGUCUAGUUCAGUUGGGUGCAACAGUUUGAGUUAAGUCACAAAGGCCAUCAGGUGGACAUACUUGUCCACUAACGAAGCAGUAGGUAGUGGUGAUGGCAAUGCUUCCGUUAAAGGUGUUCUGCAGGACCAACAUGAGAACUGGAUAUUGGGGUUUAAUGACUACUUAGAGAGAUGCUCAAUUUUUAAAGCUGAGUUACGGGGAAUUUUAGAUGGCCUAUUAGUAUUGCUUAGCAAAGGAUUCAGAAAGGCCACGAUUCAGUCUAAGGUGGUUAAGUUGGUUAACAAAUUCUGGUAUUACAAUGUUUAAAAGGAUCCCGAGAAUUUUAUGAGCUAAAGGACAAUAGAGCACUAGACACGUGCUUAGAGAACCCAAUCAUGCUGCUGAUUAUUUGACUAACAUGAAUUUACUCAAGCCUUCACGUCUUUGAUGAUACCCCAAAUGAAAUUCUAAAGAUUAUACAACAAGACAAAGAUAAUAAAGUUUUUGUUAAUCUCGUGUUGAUGCAGUUCAGUUUUUUAUUUAAACACUAAAAAACAAAUUUCGUUUAAGUGUACCCAUAUUUGUAACAUAUUUGUAAAUGGAUCAUUAUUAUUUUUAAGAGAGAGAUCCACUUACAUAUUAUUAUUUUUAGUAACACAUUUAAAUCCAAAGUUCUCAACACAACGCUAUACUUUUAAUAACUCGGUACAAGCAUUUAAAAAAUUUCUUGACAUAAGUUGAAAGAGCAGAAUACAAUUUGGAUUUAGAUAAUGAUUUAUCAGUCUUGUUCCUACUCAAAAACUAAAAUCACUGUUAAAUUUGUCUGAAAGAAAUAAACAAUCAGCAAAUAGCUCAAAAUUGCAUAUAAAUUCAAGAGCUUCCUCGUCCAACUUAACAUGCAGGCUGCGCUUGUGCGGGUUCGAGAAGCUGGCCGACUAGCUUGUAGGUCCGCCCUUGAAGGGCCUUAGUGUGGUCGAUUAGCUGCUCGUAACUGCAGAAAUCCAGUAUCGAAAUUGGAAGUCAUUAAGAGAAGAGGAACAAACAAAUGUAGUUAUGGAAAGAACAUAGUAUGAAAGAUGCACAAUACAAAGAACAAGGAAAUCUUACACAUUAGGUUGAUUAGGCUCCAUAAUAACAGUUCCAGUCUCUGAAUCAAUCUUUGCCUCAAGUUUCGAGUUUCGGAUGAGAUUCACAAUCCACCUCUCACCCUCCUCGUAAUUUAAGUUCAGUUUCUCAAAAAGCACCCUUGAAACACAUACAAAAUCCAUUUAAUGUAGGAUCAAAAUCUAAGACAAGCAAUUAAAACAACAUAAUCUCAUAAGUAAAAGCAUAUCUUGAAAGAGUUAAGAAGACAAAUGGGAAGUAAUCACUAUAAUAAGAGAUACUCGAGUCCAUGUUACUCAGAUUUGGGUGAGUUUCAGAUACCGGUAUGUUUAAUUGUUUUCUAAGUUUUUCCAUGUAUUGAAGGAUCAUAUCUUCAUAACCGCAAGACAAAUACUUCAAGAAAAAUGAACAGUCAGGAAAUGCAUAGAUAAUAGCAAACCAAAGGUUUAUGUUGUGAUGUUUUGUGAUCUGUGCACGUGCCUGCUCUGCAGACGAAAACAUGCAUUACAUCUGUUUUGAUUUAAUAUUUUGUACAAAAUUUCAUCAAUCCUUAACAUGCAAUUAGCCAAAAAGAAUUCAUAACUCAGUGCAAUGUUAUGGGAAACCCAGCAUGCAAAGCAGACUGUGAGCCUAUCGACAAUUAAACAUUCAAAUGGAAGUCAUUCCGUGUCAUUUACUCAUAAGAAGAAGUCAAUUAUACACAUAAGAAGCUAAUUAUAUAAGUUUGACAAAGCAGGAGCUUACCCCAUAUCAAUGCGCUGAUGAAUUCUGCAGUAUGUCUCGAAGAUAAAUAAACGAGCAUUCUCAAGAAACUCAUCUUUUAAUGGGACAGUAGAAAAGUUGCCCUCUUCAACUCUUUUUCCAAGGAAGGGAUCAUUCAGUAUCACCUACAACAAAGACGGGAAAACUAAGGGUGUAAUAGAUAGAUCCUACAAUUCCAAUAUCAAACAAAAGCUAAAGGCAACCAAAACAGAUGACAAAACUUCAAGCUAAAACAUUGGACAAAUUUAUGGUAUAAGAUAGUACAAUCUAACUUACUUCUUCGCACUCCUUCAUCUUCUUCUGUGCUCCGUCAAAUUCAUAGUUGACAUAAACACAUGCCAAAAACUCCGUGAUGGGAUCUUUGUAAGAGCACUGAUCUUGCUGGAUAACCCUGAUAAAUUCUUUGAAUUGAGGUCUUCUCCUUUUGUUGACAAUAAAAGCAGUGGCUAAGUACCUUAGAAGAUGGGGAGCACUGGUUUGAAUGGCGUUUAGAUACCUGGAAAGAAGUGAAAUCACCUCGUAAGAUGAGACAAAUACACAAAGUUGGUUAAUAUAAACCCAGAGAAAAUAAUGCGUUAACCAAUGGAAAAAAGCAGUAAAAACAUCUAAAUUCAAACACAAUUUUAUGUUUAGUUCUAACAACAAUCCCCCUUAUGAAACAAAAUUCCAAACUAAGCAGUAUGGCGAACAUAUCACCUACUUUAGCCUCAAAUCUUUGAACAAACAUUUUGCAAAUUACAUGGCAGGCUGUGCGUUAACUUUUCAUAUUAGAAAAACCAUGCAAACGAUAGAAGAAAUCCACAAAGUUUCUAAACAUGUUCCAUUCCAACACAAUCAAAACCGAAGCAUGUGAACACAGCAGGAUCUUGAAACAGAAGUAAGUAAUGGCAUAAAAAGACAGGAAAAUGCACAAAGAACAAAUAAGCACAGAUGUGACUACCACACAAAUGAUGCAACUAACAACAUCAGUAACAAGACAUGGAAACCUUAAGUUUAGUUGUUAAAGUGACAUACUUGUCUUGAUUAAAUAGGUCGAUGAUCUGUGUUCUUCCAUUGUCAUGGUUGAAAAAGAUGAAGAGGCUCCAAUGCAUAAGCCAUAUUCUA